rnacentral:lncRNA from 13 species
CCCCGCCUCUGUUCCACGAGCAAUGAGGGCUUCACAUGAAGGAGAAACAAACGGAUUUUGUCCUGGGAUUUGGGAUUUAAACCAAAAAAAGUGGAUUUCCCCUGUCCUUGGUGCUGGAAGUGCAUCCCAAUCCUACAGCGACCAGGGAGGGUGGGAUGAGGAGCAAUUCCCAAAUCCAGCAGCUCCGAGGGCCUUUGGGGUCAAGGUUUCACCUGAGCUUGCACUCCUGAGGUCGGGAUUCCCCCCAUGCCCCGGCCAGGAGCAUCCAGGGGGAUUCCCUGCAUCCCAAACUCCCCAAAUUCCUGAUUUUUUUCCCCAUUUCAGUGAACACAGUGGAUGACACGACCAUGUACGCCGAGGUGGGCCCUUCCCAGCAGGUGAGCCUGGGCAUCCCCGUCCCCUCCGCAGUCCCUGCGGGCACCCUGGGGACAGCCUGGGGACAGCCUGGGGACAGCCUGGGGACACGGUGGGUGCAGCUGGACAAUCCCUGGCUGGGCCAGCUGGUUCCUUUCGGGAAUUCCAAGGGGGAUGUGCCACAGCUGGGGUGGCCCAAGGGCACCUGAACUUCCUGGGGUGUCCCCAAAACUCCGUGUCCGCCCCCAAAAACUUGGCUGCCCCUCCAAAGGGAGGGAUCAGAGGAUGAUGGGAUUUUUGGGGGGUUGGGAGGGACCUUAAAAUCAUCCCAUUCCAUGGGCAGGGACAAUUCCCACUAUCCUGGGAUGCGCCAACCCGGCCUUGGGAUGGGGCAACGCUUCCAGAGGGGGAUCUUUGAGGGGUCUUGGGAUUUGGGAUCUCUUUUCCAACACCAAGCCCUAAAACGCUGCUAAAACCCUUUUCCCCCAGCGUAUCCCGAAUGGAAUUAAAGCCAAACCAACGGAGGCCCCGGAAUCCUCCUCAACCAUUUAUUCCCUGGUCAAGCGUCCGGGUCAGAUGGACCCCACAACGUGACUCUGGAAAGGCUCCGGCAUCCACGAUCCCGCUUCAGACAGGAUCUCACGGAUCUCAUCCUCCCAGGGAUCUCCCUUUCCCUCCUCAUCGCUGCUGCCUCGGAUCUCCCCUGGGCAGCCUCAGUUCGCGAUUUCAGGGAGCAUUUGGAGCCCUUUGGGAUCUUUCCCCUCGAUUUUGGCAGCUCCACGGGGUUCGGGCUCCUUUUCCCACCCUCUCCCACCGGGAUUCCAGACCACAGCUCCGCACACGCCGCAAGGAUUCGGGGCCGAGCCUCGGGAUGGCCGGACGGGCUGGAGGAGCCUCUUAAAAGGGUUUUUUCAUGGAAUCCCAGAAUUCCUGAAGUUGUAAAAUCGCUCCAGGACCAUCAGUUCCAGCCUGGGACCAGUCCUGGCCACGCAGAGCAAGGUCUAGCGGUUCCUUGGACACCUCCAGGGAUGGCGCCUCCAAACCGGCUCCUUUUAAUGUGGAAAACCCAUUUUUUCAAGGAAUCCUUGCAGGAUUUUUUUUUAGAAAUGAUUUUUUUCCCCUGUUCUGCUUCGUUUUUGAAGCUUCUUGCUUGUCUUACGGAAAACGAAAAUAAUGCCAGGCAGCUGAAGCAAGAACCACAAGAACCUUCCCCCAUUGUUGGGGAAGAUGAAACAGGAAAGCCUUAUAAAUAUGAUUGCCUGACAAAAGAUUUUGGGAAUAUGAAAACUACAGGCAACAUCGAAAUGAAAGCCACUUUUGAAAUACCAAGUCUUAGUUACUGAACAACUGGAAAACAAUGGUAUGGCCGACUGAAGGAAUUCCGGCAAGUAUCCCGGCAGGAAUCCCGGCAGGAAUCUCCGGGAGUGGUGCCGGGAUGCAGAAUUCCUUUGGGAUUUGGGGACAGCGACCUGAGCGUGGGACAUGGGGCCCUUCCCUGCUCCCCAAAUCCACCCUGAACCGGCGCCUGAGCCCCAGAACCACGAACUGGCCUCGAUUUUCCGAUGCCUCUGGACACGGCCGCUCCUGGGAAUUCUCUUCCCAGCCAUGCCUCUUCCCGCUGCUCUUUGUCCGUGCCUCGGUGAAUUAUUCACGGUGAAACCGGAGCUGCCUUUGAAGCGCCUGGCUGCGGGAGCCUCUGGAAUACAAAUUCCAGGCGCAUCCCGGCUCCCUUCCUGCCUGCAAAUCACUUUCUUGGGAUGAAAACAGACUUGUUACGGAAUAAUUCCUGUUGUCUCGGUGUUUUUGGAUACCUCGGAUCAAAUAAAAGAUAUUCUGGUUUUGUAGAGGAGGGAUUUGCUCACGUGGCUCCAAAUCCGUCCUUGGAAAUCCUUGUCUUGGAUUGGGAUUUAAACAACUCCAGGGGUUGUCCCGAAGGGAUUUGGGGCAGUGCUGGAGCUUCCCCUGCUCCUUGGAUUGGGUUUGGGACAGCUCUGGUGGCUCCAGGGAUUGUCCUGAGGGGAUUUGGGGCAGUGCUGGAGCUUCCCUCUGUCCUUGGAUUGGGUUUGGGGCAGCUCUGGUGGCUCCAGGGAUUGUCCUGAGGGGAUUUGGGGCAGUGCUGGAGCUUCCCUCUGUCCUUGGAUUGGGUUUGGGACAGCUCUGGUGGCUCCGGGGAUUGUCCUGAGGGAAUUUGGGGCAGUGCUGAAGUUGCCCCGCUCCUUGCCCAGACCUCCAACCCUUUCCCCGCCCCUUCCCACAGAGCAACGACUCCCUGGGGUGCAAAAAUCACUCUAUGAGGUGGGGAAAUGACUCCAGGGGUAGAGAAAUGACUCCAGGGGAUGAUUUUUAUCCGUUCCUCUACCAAUUUCAGCACCUUUGGGCCCCAACUGAAGCUUCCUGUGAGUAAAAAAGGGGAAGGAGGAGGUUUCGGAGGGGCCGGGAGGGGGAUGGGCACAGCAGGAUGGGGCCGAGCGGCUUUUGGGAGCUCUGCCUCGCCCUGCUCUGCUCUGGGGCCGGUGAGUGGGGCUGGGGGAGCCUCGGGGUGUGGGGCUGGAGCGAGGAGGAGGAGGAGGAGGAGGCUGAAGGCAGCGGGGGCAGCUCAGGGAAAUCCCUUUAGGGAGUUCCCUGGGGGUUAAGCUCAGGUUUGGGUUGAGCCCGGCUUUGUUGAGCCUUGUUUGUGUUCCCAGGAGGGUUUUGGGGUCUCUCAGCACCCCAAAUCCAUCCCAAUGCAGAUCAGGAGGGGCUUUUGAACCGCUUUUGGGGGUUCCGUUGGUUUUAAUCGCGGUACGAUCUCGGCAUGGCCACGAAUGGAACUUGGAGGAUCCUGGUGGCUCCUUCCACCUCACAUCCCGCAGCUCCAUGCCCCAAAUCGGGAUAUUUUUUGGGAUUUUAUAAUUCCCUGCUUGGCUCUGCUCGAGUUCAGCCCCCUCGGAGAGCUGUGGGACAUCCCGAGCUGGAAAAAACCCACCCGGAUCAUCCAAUCCCACCCCAAACCCUGCGCAGGACAUCCCAAAAUCCCAAUAAACCCUCCCGGAGUUUUUGGGGCAGGGACCAUCCCCUGUUCCGUGCCUCACAACCCUCUGGGGGAUGAAUUUUCGGGAUCUCCAUCCCAAAUCCCUCCUGGAACAGCUCCAGCCAUUCCUGGAUCCUGAGCCCCUUGGAAUUCCCAGGAUUUCCCCUCACUCUCCUCUCCUCCGAAAUUUCCUUUUGGGGAAAUCCCUCCUGACCCUUCACCCUCUGCUGAUGUCCCCAAACUCUGUCCCACGUCCCCUGAGGGGACACGGGGCUCCAUGUUCCCAUUCCUGAUCCCUGAUUUCGGGGGAGAACGGACAAAUCCCAUUCCCAGCUCUCGGCUUCCAAGAAGAGGAGCCGGGCAAUGGCAGCGUCACCCCGGCCGAGGAGCCCCCGGGGCCACCGGGACACCCCACCACAGCCACCGGGCACGCGGGGACAACGGUGACGACGUGGCCGAGGGCCACCACCAGCCCUCCUUGGAGCGGGGACCUCGCGGUGACACCGGCAGGGAACCAAACCCGUGAGUUCCACGGGAGGGGUGUGUCACCCUCCUGGGGGAUUUGUCACCACCCUUGGGGACCUGUCACUCUCACAGGGGAUGUUCCACCACCCUUGGGG